rnacentral:rRNA from 1 species
CACUGUAAAUUUAGCCUAUCUUUUUCCUUUUCACACAUCAAAAUUAAACCAUUUAAACUACGUUAGUACGAGUGACAGAAAACCUCUUAGCGCAAUAAAUAAAGUACUGUAAAGGAAAAAUGAAAUAGAAAUUAAAUAAUACAUAAAAGUAUAAUAAAGCAAAGAUAAAUACUUAUACCUUUUGCAUAAUAAUCUAGCAAGUCUACACCAACAAAAAUAUUUAUGCCGGAUAUCCCGAAACCAAACGAGCUACCUUAAAGCUGUAUAUGAACAUAACCCUUCUCUGUAGCAAAAGAGAGGAAGGACUAUAAGGUAGAGGUGAAAUACCAAACGAGUAUGGAAAUAGCUGGUUAUUUGGGAAUGAAUUAAGUUCAACUUAAAAUGAAUAUACCCACAAGGUAAUAUGACAUUUUCAGUAUAAUAAAUUAGGGUACAGCCUAUUUUAUAAAGGAAACAGCCUAUAUGCAUGAAUAAAGAUUAUAAUUUAAUUAAUAACUAAGUAGGCCUAAAAGCAGCCACCAAAAAAGCGUCACAGCUUGAUCAUAAACUAUAAAAUAUUUAAAUAAAUUAUCUAAAUUCAACCAACAACCAAAUUAAUCUAUUUAUAGAUAAACUACUACUAGAAUGAGUAAUAAGGAAUCCCUCUAGAUACACAUGUAAAUCAAAAUGAACUCCAUUGAUAAUUAACGAAAACAUUCGUUCUCACAAGAAACUAAAUUAAAUUUACCGUUAACCCAACACAGGUGUAUAAAAGAAAGACUUAAAGUUUAAGAAGGAACUCGGCAAACCCAGGCUCCGCCUGUUUACCAAAAACAUCGCCUUUCGAUAAAUUAAUAUGGAAGGUCCUGCCUGCCCAGUGACACAUUUUAACGGCCGCGGUAUUAUGACCGUGCAAAGGUAGCAUAAUCACUUGUCUUUUAAAUUAGGACUAGCAUGAAUGGCAAAACGAUAAGCCUAACUGUCUCCUUGGACUAGUCAAUGAAAUUGAUCUUUUCGUGCAGAAGCGAGAAUACAACUAUAAGACGAGAAGACCCUGUGGAGCUUAAAAAUAAAAUUAUAUAAAUAUUUAUAAUAAUAUUAAAUUUAGGUUGGGGCGACCAUGAGGUAAAAUAUAACCCUCAAGACAACAAUUAGAAGGACACUUCAAACAAAAUAAAAUUUAUACAUUGACCCAAUAAUGAUCAACGAACCAAGUUACCCCAGGGAUAACAGCGCAAUCCAUUCCCAAAGCCCAUAUCGACGAAUGGGUUUACGACCUCGAUGUUGGAUCAGGACCCCCAAAUGGUGCAACAACUAUUAAAGGUUCGUUU